GCAGCAGGCCCCAGGCCCCCAGGGAAGAGAAGCCUCACCUUGGUUUGGCCCUGGCGGGGUCUGAACCCGACCUGGAGGUGGCCGGUCAGAGGGGCCGGCGUACAGGCCCCUUGUGCCAGAGGCAGGUUCGAGGUAUUCUGCUUGGUAGCUGGGAGGCCCUGGGCAGGAGGAAGGGGCAGGGAGGAAGGCCUAGGGGAAGCUACUGCAGCUAGUGGCUCCCUGGGCGGGGUCCUGAGAUUCUGGUUCAAGCGGCCUCUGUUGGGGUCUCCCUCAUAAAGUGCACGUGGGGGCUGGGAAGGUGGGGUGGUCACAGAGGCCGGGGGCCAUGCAGGCCAGCGACUUCCGGCGUGAGAGGGGGGCUGUGGGUGCCCCUGGAGGCCGUCCAGUCACUGAGGAAAGCCUGGGCGGCUUUGCGGUGUGCCAGGCGGUGGGUGAUGGAGAAGCCUGCGUUGCCCUCCAGCUGGGACAGGAUCACCAGGACCUGCCUGGGGGAGGGGGCCGGUGAGGAUGGGGGUGGGGUGGGGUGAGGGGUGGGGCCGGUGAAGGCAGAGGAAGCGGGGCGGGCAGGGGGCGGGGUCGAGGAAGCAUCCGGGCCGGGCGGUGCCCACCUGUGCAGGGGGGGCACGCUGUCCUGGGUGCGCAGGCUGCCGCGCGUGGACACCACGUUGAAGCUGUCGGAGCAGUCACACUGCACGUGCAAGUAGGACUUGGGAUGCCGGUUCUCCACUACCACGAUGAGCCCUGCCCAGCCGUGCGUCAGGUAGUAGCAGGUCAUGCCCUCGCGUCCCUGGACAGCAGACAGUACAGAGUGGGCUGCGACGGGGCCUCCCCUCCUCCCCCCCACCCAGGACCCCGCCCGCCGGCCCACCUCGUGCCGCUCGCCCCGGCUCUCGGUGAGCAGAAUGAUGGCGUCGGCCAGCGUGGUCGGCUGGGCCUCCACGGGCUCCACCAUGACCAGCCUGGAGCUGUACACGGCCAGCACGUGGCCGGGCGGCUGCGGGGCGCAGCGCGGGACUCCCGCCGAGGGGCUGGAGGCUGUGGGGGGCGGGAGUUGGGGGCGUGAGUGGGGGAGGCGGGGGGGGGGGGGGGGGGGGGGGGGGGGGGGGGGGGGGGGGGGCACAGCGCGGCCCUCCCUGCGGGUGGGGGGCGGCGGGGUGGGACUUACCCUGCGAGCCGGCUGGGGGUCCCGGCGCGGCGGGGCUCCAGUGGUUGAAGGCACAGCACACCACAGCGUACUCGCCGGGCUCCAGCAUCACGUCGCAGUUGACAAACUUCUUGACCGCGCGCUUGCUGUGGGCCAGCAGGCGGCCCAGGCUCAGGCGGCCACCGCUGCCGAAGGACGCGCGGAACACCAGCACGCACAGGUCCAGCAAGUGGCUGUCCCCCGAGUCGGCGCGCCUGCGGCGAGAGGUGGGGCUGCGGUCAGGGGAGUCGCCCCGCCCGCCUCCGGCCCCGCCCACCGCCAGCCCAGGGCCCCGCCCACCUGCUGCCCUCCUGGAAGAGGGCAAACUCCAGGGAGGCGCGCUCCAGCACCGUGAGAGCAGUCACCCCCACGGGCCCGCUGGCAGAGCUGGGGAAGCAGCCCUGCACACGCGCCUCCUGCCAGUCCGAGUGCACCUUGCAGAUGUCCACGGAGUCGAAGUACCUGGGCAGCGAGAGGACAGCUCUGCUGCGCUCGGGUGCAGGCACUUCUGCACCCUCUCCACUCCCUGCCCCAGGGCAUCUCCUGGGACCAGGGUCGGGAAGCCCUGGUCCCGGCCUGUUGCCCCUGGACACCACCAGGGGUCCCCAGCCCUGAGCAUGAUGAAGGGGGGAGGAGGAGGAGGAGGCCCAGCCCUGGCAAUACAAGCCCCUCCCUCACUGAUCCUGUGCUGAGCUGGAUUCUGGAAAGCCCCCCCCCCCGCUCAAGCUGUCGGGAAGGGCAGGUGGGGUCCCCAGGGCAGGGCACCACACAAUGGGUCAACUGGGGCAGAGAGAUCAGGUGAGCCAAGGUGAAGGUGGCUGGAGCACAGGGGCUGCCAUGGGGCCUGCCUGCAGCGUCUGGGUACCUGAUGAAGUCGCUGUACUCCAUCCAGAAGACACCUUCGCUGCUCCCAUGUGGCAUGAGCUCGCUGCGCAGGUGCCCUGGCCAGUGCGGCCACUCAUCUGACCAGCUGCCGUUCCAGGAGAAGCGGCCCCACGGGUUCCGGAGACGCAGGAGCCUGCGGACCACAGGGCUGAGGGCCAUGGCCGUGCCCCCACCGCCUCCACCACACAUCCACCCGGCCCCUACCUGGAGCCCUGGACGUCCCGGACAUCUAGAAUGGAGUAGGCGUGGCGGGGACGCAGGCCCAGGCUCUCGUACGCGGCAUCGUCCACCUUCAUGUUACCCCCACCACAGGAGGCACCCAUGAGGAACCUGCACGGGCAGAGCAGCCUCAGCGACUGGGGGCCCUUAGUAAGCAGGAGCCUCUCUGCUGGCUCUGCCCCCCGGUGGGUGGGGGGAUAGGAGGAGAGCGGAAGGUGGCAGGGGUGGGGGGAGGGGGGGUCCUGCCUGUGGGACCCUCAUGAGACACAGGGGACUCGGGAAAUUGCUGGCCCAGCCCCCUCCGCUGUGGUCCAGGAGCUCAGAGGCCUUGGGCUCCAGUCCCCACAAGCCUCCCGAGGCUGGUCCUGCCGGCUCCGGGCUGUGGCUCUCGGAGGGCAGCAAUACUGCCCACUAUCAGCCGAGAGCACUCAUAAGCCGUCUCUCCCAGGCCUAAGGUUCUGAGCCCUUCCCACAGACACGCCGGCCAGCGCGUGCCAGGUCUUAGAAGGCAAACCCCACUCCCACCAGGUGCCUCCGUGGGGCUCUCUCUCCAUGCGGCUCCGAGUGGGCCCUGGCAGUCACCAGAGGCCCAACUCAGGAUGAGGCCUUCCAGGUCAGGCCAAUGGGCAGCCUCCUGCCUGCCGUAAGAGAUGCUGGCGAACUUGAGAUGCAGGGUGCGGGCCAGAGGGCGCGUGUCCCGGUUCUCCCACCGCUCCAGGCCCCGGCCUGGCCGUCCCCUUGUCUCGCCUCUCCUCCCAACGCCGCUGACCGCCACAGCGCCCGCCCCUCUUACCCAGCCUCCUUAGAACUCAGCAUUUUGGCCCAGAUGAGGUCAGUGUCAACGGGCUCCUCGCGGGGGUUAGUGGAGCUGACCUGCAGCGCCAGGCUCUCACAGGGGGCACCGGUGAGCGUGGCCAGGCCUUCGAUGGCGCGCCCCGCCUGGAGGGCGAAGUAGGAGCCGUGCAGCUUGGCCAGCGCCUUCUCGAUGAGCGCCACCCACAGCUGCUUCCGCUGAGCCUACAGGGAGGGGCUGGAGUCGAGAGGCCUGGCGCCCGCCGAGACCCAUGAUGCCCGCCCCAGGCCCCCCCGUCCCGCCACCUGGGAGAAGAGGAGGAAGCCGGCCUCGUCGCAGGGUAGCAUGUCGUCCACCAGCACUGUCGUCCACGUGCCGUCCUUGCAGAGCCGCACCUGGUAGGCGCCCUCUGCACACAGGCUGCGUGUGACCAUCACCCGCUCGACCAGGUCAGGCCGCUCGGCCAGCACGGCCAGAGCGCUCAGGAACCUGUACGGAACCAGGGCCUUGCUGUGAGCACACUGGGCCGUCCGCCGCCCAGCCCCCUGUGGGCGCCCCGCUCACCAGCAGUUCCCCAGCAGCCCCUGCAGGAUGUCCGAGGGCCGGAGAGUGUGGAACACGGACCACGAGGCGUUGUGGUCCCUGGAGACGGAGCAGUUGAUCUCGUGGGGCCGCAGCCACUGCCGCACACGCUGCUGGACGCUGUCACCCGCGGGGAAGCCCACAGACUUGGGCCCAGGGGGGAAGCUGUCAUCCACGAAGUUCACACUGUUCUGCAAGGGCCAUGGCCUCACACUCAGUCUCCUCCUGGCUGAGGCCAGAGCCAGCACCCUGAAAAUGCUGCCUGAGCCCCAGAAGCAAGAGGGUGGGUGUGUGCAGCCACCCUGACCGAUCUGGAGGUCCUGGCCAAGGCUUUGUGUGAGCCACACCACGCCAUGUGGACACGGGGGACACUGCACAUCCCCAGCCUGGAAGUUACAGGGAUGGCAGGCAUGGGGGUGCGGAGAACCUGGGAUGGGGAAGCCAGGGCACAAACCCCCAGACAGGCCGUCAGGGUGGGCUGCUGGCAGUGAUGGGGGCAGCAACCUGAGGGGGGACAGACAGUCCCUCCAAGUGACGCGGGGGGCAAUGCUCCCCUGGACUCAGGACCCCCACAGCUACAAGGGCAGAAGAGAGUGAGGAAGUGUCCCGACCCCGAGUUUCCGCAGGGUCUCCCUGGCUGGAGGAGGCACCAGGCCUGCCUGUGGCAAGAAGCCUGCACCUGUGUCCCCCCCCCCGGGGUUUCCCCAUCUACGGGAAAUCACAGCUGAGAAGGGUCAGGAGUACAGACUCUCAUGCGUAGACAGGAUCAAAGGGCAAGGGGUAGGAGACCAGGCUGGUGCACAGAGCUUGGGGAAGAGAGUGCUGGUGCUGUCCCUCCGGCCAGAGGAGGACCACCCAGAAAGGACAGAAGGCGCAGACACCUUGGUCGGGGGACGGGGGGGGGGGGGGGCCCAAAAAGGGGNGGGAGGGGGGGGGGGGGGGGAGCCACAAAGAGGAGACGUCUGUGGAAGCAGAGUGCCAGACCCGGUGCGGGGCCACCAUCAGCAGGGCGCUCACCUCCCGGCAGAAGGCCACGAUGUUUUCCCAGAGGGCCUUGGCCUCGCCCUCAUCGGUCUGCCGCCGCUUCUCCACGUGCAUGCUCUCCCUGCGCCUCAGGGGCGCGACGCCCCGGCGCUGGGCCACCAGGAGCUGGGGCGUGUGACAGGCGGCACAGUGCUUGGCCCUGGGUGCGUUGAGCAGAGUGCAGGCAGGGCAGGCCCACUGGCCUGGGCGCUCGGGCGGCCCCACGAGAACCGGGCAGCUGGCCUUGUGGGCUGAGCAGGGACCGGACUUCUCGGCGCUGCAGUCGGGGCAGCGGGUGGGGGGCUCACCGUGCUCCUGGAAGCCAUGCAGCUUGGAGCAGCCGCACGCGGUGCAUCUGGGGGCUGCCGUGGGGUUCCGAAGUGUGCACUUGGCGCAUGACCAGGUGGUGAAGUCGGGGCUGGAGGGGCUGGCUGGCUUGUAGCGCACAGUGUCUCCAGCCAGGUCAAUGACGUCGCUGCCCGGCACAGCACCGCAGGCCUCGCAGCGGGCAGGGCUCGCGGGGCCGGGCACAGAGCAGGAGCCACACCGGUGCGGCGCAGGGCCACCCUCAGUGGCCUCCUCCUCCAGCAUGCUCAGCCUUUUGCUUGACAGCAGCUCUGCCAAGCGGGAGGCCCCGGCUGCGGUCCGCCCUGGGCCCUGGGGGGGCCCCUUGGAGCCGGCAGUGGGUGAGGGCUGGGUGGCCUCAGGCACCAGUGGCUGCAGCUGGGGGGGAACCUCGCGGCGGCUGCGAGGCACAGGGUUGUUCUGCAGGGUGGGCGAGAAAGGACUGAAGGACGGCGCCCGGGGGGGCUCCUGGUCGGUGGCAGAGGGAGGGUCAGCUUCGGCGCCUUCCCCGGGCUGGGGCGGGGCAGGUAUGACGUGGAAGCCGGCGGGGGCCACGAUUUCGGGGACCACCAGGGCCUCGGGAGGGAUUCUGGGCAGCGAGAGUUUCCGGGGGCCUCCGCAGGCCGAGCAGGAGCUGGCCACGGGCGUGUUGUGCAGUGUGCAUCGCUGGCAGGCCCAGCCACUCCCAGGCUCUGCUGCCCUCUCCUGCUCCUCCUCCUCUAACUCCUCUUCCUCCUCCUCCUCCUCCUCCUCCUCCUCCUCCUCGGGC
rnacentral:lncRNA from 1 species